GACGUAGGGUGCAAGCGUUGUCCGGAUUUAUUGGGCGUAAAGAGUUCGUAGGCGGUUUGUUAAGUCUGGUGUUAAAGACUGGGGCUCAACCCCAGCAUGGCAUUGGAUACUGGCAGGCUAGAGUGUGGUAGAGGUCUCGGGAAUUCCAGGUGUAGCGGUGAAAUGCGUAGAUAUCUGGAGGAACACCGGCGGCGAAAGCGCGAGACUGGGCCAUAACUGACGCUGAGGAACGAAAGCCAGGGGAGCGAAAGGG
rnacentral:rRNA from 1 species